rnacentral:piRNA from 1 species
UGAGAGCCUCUUUCCAGCUUGUGCUGC